rnacentral:rRNA from 1 species
UACAGAGGGUGCAAGCGUUGUUCGGAAUUACUGGGCGUAAAGGGCGCGUAGGCGGCCAACUAAGUCAGACGUGAAAUCCCCUGGCUUAACCGGGGAACUGCGUCCGAUACUGGUUGGCUUGAGUUUGGGAGAGGGAUGCGGAAUUCCAGGUGUAGCGGUGAAAUGCGUAGAUAUCUGGAGGAACACCGGUGGCGAAGGCGGCAUCCUGGACCAAUACUGACGCUGAGGAGCGAAAGCCAGGGGAGCAAACGGG